rnacentral:rRNA from 1 species
GAUGAACGCUGGCGGCGUGCCUAAUACAUGCAAGUCGAGCGAACAGACGAGGAGCUUGCUCCUCUGACGUUAGCGGCGGACGGGUGAGUAACACGUGGAUAACCUACCUAUAAUACUGGGAUAACUUCGGGAAACCGGAGCUAAUACCGGAUAAUAUAUUGAACCGCAUGGUUCAAUAGUGAAAGACGGUUUUGCUUUCACGUAUAGAUUGAUCCGCGCCGCAUUAGCUAGUUGGUAAGGUAACGGCUUACCAAGGCGACGAUGCGUAGCCGACCUGAGAGGGUGAUCGGCCACACUGGAACUGAGACACGGUCCAGACUCCUACGGGAGGCAGCAGUAGGGAAUCUUCCGCAAUGGGCGAAAGCUUGACGGAGCAACGCCGCGUGAGUGAUGAAGGUAUUCGGAUCGUAAAACUAUGUUAUUAGGGAAGAACAAAUGUGUAAGUAACUAUGCACGUCUUGACGGUACCUAAUCAGAAAGCCACGGCUAACUACGUG